GCCAGUGUAGUGUAGUGGUUUGAACAUUGGGCUAUAACAUUGAAGAACAGGGUUCAAAUCUCUGCUCAGAAA